GCUAUGGACUGGUCCACACAUUCCGGACUUCGGAGCGGCAGAUAUAGGGUUUGCGUUGCGAAGGGUGGCUGGCGGAGGUGGCGAAGAAGAAGGUGGGGGAGUUGUUGCUGUUGUUGUUGUUCAGGCGAUCUCGCUCCCAAAGACAAAAUGCUCCAGACGCUACUGAUUCAAUUGCUUUACAGUUCCCCUACAUUAUUGUCCUCGCUGUGUGCAGGGGAGCUCUGGCUUUUGUAUGAUUACCACGCCUAGUGCAGGUGGAGGGCGAGUUCUCACCUGCAGGGAAUACUAAAGCCCUCUUGCACAUGCUUGUAUUCUUAUUAUUAUUAUUCUCAUUAUCCUCCACCUCCUCCUCUACCUGAAAAGCGUCUGCUUCUAACGACUCUAUUUCUGAAAGAAUGUGCUUGCUUUGAGAUCAGCGAGUGACCCAGCUUGUCGACUUUCAUCCAUCCUUUCGAUACUCGCGAUCAUUAUUCAUCUACGAAGUAUCCCUGAACAACUUCCAUCCUCUCGGAAUUCGUGCUUUACAUUCAUCACCCACAAGGUAACAACCGAAAGGAUGGACCAGCUAGUUACUGUGACCGGGACUUUUCACCCCGUUAAUCUUUGAUGGUUCACCAGAUUACUGCUAGUAGUAGAAGUAGUUGUUGUUGUACUUGUCAAGGCCUUAUACGUGUCAAGGCCUUAUACGAAACCAACUGAUCGAUUCUCAUAUAGUUAAAAAUUAUUGCCCGAAAGGCCCUAACAACCAUCUCAUUGUUUCACAAAAAUACAAAAGUCAUUGGAAAAGACCCCAAUAAUAGGUA